UACGGGGGGGGCAAGCGUUGUCCGGAAUUAUUGGGCGUAAAGAGCUCGUAGGCGGUCUGUCGCGUCUGCUGUGAAAACUCAGGGCUUAACCCUGAGCUUGCAGUGGGUACGGGCAGACUAGAGUGCGGUAGGGGAGACUGGAAUUCCUGGUGUAGCGGUGAAAUGCGCAGAUAUCAGGAGGAACACCGGUGGCGAAGGCGGGUCUCUGGGCCGUAACUGACGCUGAGGAGCGAAAGCAUGGGGAACGAACAGG
rnacentral:rRNA from 1 species